rnacentral:lncRNA from 12 species
AUGGGAGGAAUUUUCCAGAAAAACAUCUUUGGCGUGCUUGGGGAACCACGCAAGGAACUGAUUCCUUUUACGUGCUCCGUGACUUCUCGGGGAAUCGGGAUCGAGCUCCAGAGUCACACCUCCACCCCGAUGUGGGGAGGAGAACGCGUCCCAGGUUCCACUGUGGUGUCCAGUAGUGAGCAGAGGGCGGGGUGGAGGCGGACCGGCCUUUCAGUUAGUCCUUGUAGGCAUGUUUUAAAAAAAGCAAAAAAACAAACAAAAAACCCAGAAGUGACACUUUUAGUUCGCAUUUUGGCCUCCUUUUAUUUGGAGGUGGGGGGUAGGUAGUUAAGUAAAAGGGGAUACUUGUAACCUCGAUGAAGUCUCGAUUUUGCCUUGUCCUAGAAUACUCUUACCGGGAAUCUCGCUGUUAGUUCCAAGUCCCGGCCGAGGAGGAAACUGACCUCCCCGAGCUUUCCAUUCCGCGCUCUGCCCCGCAGGCAGCGUCGCGGCUUCCUCCUCCCCCGCCCUGGAGCGACCCGGGGCCCAACCUGGCUUGGGGUUCAGGUCUGGUCUGGUGCAGGGGGCUCCAAAGGAAGCGGGCGUUCGGAGGCACCUUGCAAAACGCGGGAUCCCCAGGCCACCCGAGGCUGGCGGUGGGGGGGAG